rnacentral:rRNA from 1 species
AGGUAAGCUACUAAGAGCGAAUGGUGGAUGCCUUGACUGGUAAAGGCGAUGAAGGACGUACUAGACUGCGAUAAGCUACGGGGAGCUGUCAAGAAGCUUUGAUCCGUAGAUUUCCGAAUGGGGCAACCCAAUGUAUAGAGAUAUACAUUACCUAUAUAGGAGCGAACGAGGGGAAUUGAAACAUCUUAGUACCCUCAGGAAAAGAAAUCAAUAGAGAUUGCGUCAGUAGCGGCGAGCGAAAGCGCAAGAGGGCAAACCCAGUGCUUGCACUGGGGGUUGUAGGACUGCAAUGUGCAAGAGGUGAGUUUAGCAGAACAUUCUGGAAAGUAUAGCCAUAGAGGGUGAUAGUCCCGUAUGCGAAAAACAAACCUUAGCUAGCAGUAUCCUGAGUAGGGCGGGACACGAGAAAUCCUGUCUGAAGCUGGGUCGACCACGAUCCAACCCUAAAUACUAAUACCAGAUCGAUAGUGCACAAGUACCGUGAGGGAAAGGUGAAAAGAACUGAGGUGAUCAGAGUGAAAUAGAACCUGAAACCAUUUGCUUACAAUCAUUCAGAGCCCUAUGUAGCAAUACAGGGUGAUGGACUGCCUUUUGCAUAAUGAGCCUGCGAGUUGUGGUGUCUGGCAAGGUUAAGCAAACGCGAAGCCGUAGCGAAAGCGAGUCUGAAUAGGGCGCUUAGUCAGAUGCUGCAGACCCGAAACGAAGUGAUCUAUCCAUGAGCAAGUUGAAGCUAGUGUAAGAACUAGUGGAGGACUGAACCCAUAGGCGUUGAAAAGCCCCGGGAUGACUUGUGGAUAGGGGUGAAAGGCCAAUCAAACUUCGUGAUAGCUGGUUCUCUCCGAAAUAUAUUUAGGUAUAGCGUUGUGUCGUAAUAUAAGGGGGUAGAGCACUGAAUGGGCUAGGGCAUACACCAAUGUACCAAACCCUAUCAAACUCCGAAUACCUUAUAUGUAAUCACAGCAGUCAGGCGGCGAGUGAUAAAAUCCGUCGUCAAGAGGGAAACAACCCAGACUACCAGCUAAGGUCCCUAAAUCUUACUUAAGUGGAAAACGAUGUGAAGUUACUUAAACAACCAGGAGGUUGGCUUAGAAGCAGCCAUCCUUUAAAGAAAGCGUAAUAGCUCACUGGUCUAGUGAUUUUGCGCGGAAAAUAUAACGGGGCUAAAGUAAGUACCGAAGCUGUAGACUUGAUUUUAUCAAGUGGUAGGAGAGCGUUCUAUUUGCGCCGAAGGUAUACCGGUAAGGAGUGCUGGAGCGAAUAGAAGUGAGCAUGCAGGCAUGAGUAGCGAUAAUUAAUGUGAGAAUCAUUAACGCCGUAAACCCAAGGUUUCCUACGCGAUGCUCGUCAUCGUAGGGUUAGUCGGGUCCUAAGUCGAGUCCGAAAGGGGUAGACGAUGGCAAAUUGGUUAAUAUUCCAAUACCAACAUUAGUGUGCGAUGGAAGGACGCUUAGGGCUAAGGGGGCUAGCGGAUGGAAGUGCUAGUCUAAGGUCGUAGGAGGUUAUACAGGCAAAUCCGUAUAACAAUACUCCGAGAACUGAAAGGCUUUUUGAAGUCUUCGGAUGGAUAGAAGAACCCCUGAUGCCGUCGAGCCAAGAAAAGUUUCUAAGUUUAGCUAAUGUUGCCCGUACCGUAAACCGACACAGGUGGGUGGGAUGAGUAUUCUAAGGCGCGUGGAAGAACUCUCUUUAAGGAACUCUGCAAAAUAGCACCGUAUCUUCGGUAUAAGGUGUGGUUCGCUUCGUAUUAGGAUUUACUCCGAAAGCGAAGAAACUUACAACAAAGAGUCCCUCCCGACUGUUUACCAAAAACACAGCACUCUGCUAACUCGUAAGAGGAUGUAUAGGGUGUGACGCCUGCCCGGUGCUCGAAGGUUAAUUGAUGGGGUUAGCAUUAGCGAAGCUCUUGAUCGAAGCCCGAGUAAACGGCGGCCGUAACUAUAACGGUCCUAAGGUAGCGAAAUUCCUUGUCGGUUAAAUACCGACCUGCAUGAAUGGCGUAACGAGAUGGGAGCUGUCUCAAAGAGGGAUCCAGUGAAAUUGUAGUGGAGGUGAAAAUUCCUCCUACCCGCGGCAAGACGGAAAGACCCCGUGGACCUUUACUACAGCUUGACACUGCUAUUUGGAUAAGAAUGUGCAGGAUAGGUGGGAGGCUUUGAGUAUAUGACGCCAGUUGUAUAUGAGCCAUUGUUGAGAUACCACUCUUUCUUAUUUGGGUAGCUAACCAGCUUGAGUUAUCCUCAAGUGGGACAAUGUCUGGUGGGUAGUUUGACUGGGGCGGUCGCCUCCCAAAUAAUAACGGAGGCUUACAAAGGUUGGCUCAGAACGGUUGGAAAUCGUUCGUAGAGUAUAAAGGUAUAAGCCAGCUUAACUGCAAGACAUACAAGUCAAGCAGAGACGAAAGUCGGUCUUAGUGAUCCGGUGGUUCUGUGUGGAAGGGCCAUCGCUCAAAGGAUAAAAGGUACCCCGGGGAUAACAGGCUGAUCUCCCCCAAGAGCUCACAUCGACGGGGAGGUUUGGCACCUCGAUGUCGGCUCAUCGCAUCCUGGGGCUGGAGCAGGUCCCAAGGGUAUGGCUGUUCGCCAUUUAAAGCGGUACGCGAGCUGGGUUCAGAACGUCGUGAGACAGUUCGGUCCCUAUCUGCCGUGGGCGUAAGAAGAUUGAAGAGAUUUGACCCUAGUACGAGAGGACCGGGUUGAACAAACCACUGGUGUAGCUGUUGUUCUGCCAAGAGCAUCGCAGCGUAGCUAAGUUUGGAAAGGAUAAACGCUGAAAGCAUCUAAGCGUGAAGCCAACUCUAAGAUGAAUCUUCUCUAAGCUCUCUAGAAGACUACUAGUUUGAUAGGCUGGGUGUGUAAUGGAUGAAAGUCCUUUAGCUGACCAGUACUAAUAGAGCGUUUGGCUUAUCUUU